rnacentral:tRNA from 1 species
UCCGGCAUGGUCUAGUGGCCAGGAUACCUGGCUCUAACCCAGGAGGCCCGGGUUCAAUUCCAGGUGUCGGAA